UACGUAGGGUGCGAGCGUUAAUCGGAAUUACUGGGCGUAAAGUGUGCGCAGGCGGCAGAGCAAGUCGAGUGUGAAAGCCCCGGGCUUAACUUGGGAAUUGCGCUCGAAACUACUUUGCUGGAGUGUGGCAGAGGAAGGUGGAAUUCCACGUGUAGCGGUGAAAUGCGUAGAGAUGUGGAGGAACACCAAUGGCGAAGGCAGCCUUCUGGGCCAAUACUGACGCUCAUGCACGAAAGCGUGGGGAGCAAACAGG
rnacentral:rRNA from 1 species